GUUUCCAACAUAUUUGGACAGAAGGAAAUAUUAUGUGCCCCCACCCCCAUGAUCCUGAAAAGGACAAACAGAAGAGAACAGAUGGAUAGAUGACAUAAUAUGUCUACUCACAUGUCCUUGUCUUUCUCUGGAACGCAGAAUAUUCUGUUUAUCUGAACACUUCCUGAGGGAGCAAAUCAAGAUGGCGGCACUUCAGGGAAUUACAUCAUUCACAAACUAGCCCAAAGCGAGGUUGCAUGUGUGCGCCUUUCUACUCUUCAUCUUCUUCAUCCUCACGUCCUCCUUAUUGUUCCAGUUACUUUUGAAAUCUGGCCAGACGCCCCAUCAGAUAUAAUGAGGGAACAUGGAAGCCAAAGUGGAGGUUUGAAAUGGAAACUGCAGCAGAAAGAAGAUUCAGCUGAGAGCACAGUGACUCUCUAACAGCUACUCUAAAUGAUACUCAGCAGAUUCCUGACACUGAAAUGGGAUACAUGAAAUGUACAGAAGACAAUCCAGAGAGGUAUGACAACAGAAAACUAGGACAGGAGGAGGCUAGCCUGGCAAAGCAUGCAGAACAGCAAUAUGUUAGGAGCCAAGAAAGCAGCAGGAGAAGCAUUAUGAAAGAAAUUAUGAGCAAAG